rnacentral:rRNA from 1 species
UACGAGGGGGGCGAGCGUUGUUCGGAAUUAUUGGGCGUAAAGGGUGCGUAGGCGGUUUGGUAAGUCUUUUGUGAAAUCUCUGGGCUCAACUCAGAGCUUGCAGGAGAAACUGCCGGGCUUGAGUGUGGGAGAGGUGAGUGGAAUUCCUGGUGUAGCGGUGAAAUGCGUAGAUAUCAGGAGGAACACCUGUGGCGAAAGCGGCUCACUGGACCAUAACUGACGCUGAUGCACGAAAGCUAGGGGAGCAAACAGG